ACGGGAGGCAGCAGUGGGGAAUAUUGCACAAUGGGCGAAAGCCUGAUGCAGCGACGCCGCGUGAACGAAGAAGUAUUUCGGUAUGUAAAGUUCUAUCAGCAGGGAAGAUAAUGACGGUACCUGACUAAGAAGCACCGGCUAAAUACGUGCCAGCAGCCGCGGUAAUACGUAUGGUGCAAGCGUUAUCCGGAUUUACUGGGUGUAAAGGGAGCGCAGGCGGUGCGGCAAGUCUGAAGUGAAAUCCCGGGGCUCAACCCCGGAACUGCUUUGGAAACUGUCGUACUAGAGUGUCGGAGGGGUAAGCGGAAUUCCUAGUGUAGCGGUGAAAUGCGUAGAUAUUAGGAGGAACACCAGUGGCGAAGGCGGCUUACUGGACGAUAACUGACGCUGAGGCUCGAAAGCGUGGGGAGCAAGCAGGAUUAGAUACCCUGGUA
rnacentral:rRNA from 1 species